GUCAGUAAUAUUAAAGACAAAAACCAACCAGAAAGGCAGGAAUUAUCUUUAAACAGUUAUGACGAAUUUCUAUGGCGUCCAGUUCACUCCGUGAAGUGACUGUUUUAAAGACAGCUCUUGCCUGGGUGCUGCUCAUCAACUUGUUUCUGGAUCCCUCAUCAGCAGGCAGAAGGCAAUCGCGUUUAAAAUGCAACACAAGCCAUAACAAAAACAUCAUUGCAAAAACCUCAAACAACAACAACAAUAUUACGCGAAGAGGAGCGAGAGGCACAUAGUCGACCAAGGUCUGCAUUAACAUUUAAAAAGGUUCAAAAUAAACAUGGAAGAGGCGGCGGGCUGUCCCUGUCCGAUAAACUGACUUCUGGUCUCGUCCAGAGCUGGCCACAAGUGUGCGUACAUCAUCAACUUUAUGGGUCUGUUAACAAGCCAAACGAACAUGGGUACACAAAAGUCGCAGCUUUAAGAUUGAUCUGAAGUUGGCUGGGAUGCGAAGCUGCCUCUUAUCAUGCAAACAUCAUCAACAAUGCGAAACCAUCGAAAAAAUUGCAGCUGCGAACAACUCAAAAGUGGAAAAGGCAACUUUGCCCAAAAGGGGCAAACCAGGCAGAGCUUUUAAGAGCCAGAA